rnacentral:lncRNA from 1 species
GGCCACAGAACAGCCUCUUAAGUAGAUGGACAGGCUACUCAGCAACUAAGAGAAGAAAGCAACAACUCACCCUACCCCCCCAGACUG